rnacentral:rRNA from 1 species
GUAGGUGGCAAGCGUUGUCCGGAAUUACUGGGCGUAAAGCGCGCGCAGGCGGUCCUUUAAGUCUGAUGUGAAAGCCCACGGCUCAACCGUGGAGGGUCAUUGGAAACUGGGGGACUUGAGUACAGAAGAGGAAAGCGGAAUUCCAAGUGUAGCGGUGAAAUGCGUAGAGAUUUGGAGGAACACCAGUGGCGAAGGCGGCUUUCUGGUCUGUAACUGACGCUGAGGCGCGAAAGCGUGGGGAGCAAACAGGAUUAGAUACCCUGGUAGUCCACGCCGUAAACGAUGAGUGCUAAGUGUUAGGGGGUUUCCCGCCCCCCUUAGUGCUGCAGCUAACGCAUUAAGCACUCCGCCUGGGGAGUACGGCCGCAAGGCUG